ensembl:lncRNA
CCCACGCAUCACUUCCCCAUCAAAACUACUGCUAUCACCAAAGAGAAAUUCUGCAGCAAGGCUGCUGGUGUUCACACUGCUUGGGCAUCACAGCACGACCUCUUCAUCCCAAGGAACACCAAUUCAUGGUAGUCAUUUCCUAUGAGAUGACCUCCAGCACCGCAGCAGCUCCCAAAUCCCUCUCAGCAUUUCCCCCAGCACCUCGAAGCCCCAUACAAACACUGCACCACUCCCUGGCCUCCUGCAUGACCCAUGUUUUGUGUACACACACCUCCCAGAGACUGACUCCAUCAGCAGAUCCAGCUCAGCUCUGCACCUUGCUGUAAGUCCCCCGACUUCCCACCAAUUGCAGAUCAUUCCUCACGUUAAGGCUGCGUGAAGGGUUUUGCAGGGUAGUACUUCCUGAACUUCUAUCUCGUGUGCUGGUGCUAUCCCAAUUGCUCGGCAAAGACCACGUCCCCCUGUGCUUGGCAGCCUCCCACUGCCACACUCAUACACACCCAUAUAGAAGAAGGAAAAAGGAAACAACACUUUGCUGUGAACGAGAUCUCCCAGGGAGUCAGAGUUAGCAAAACAACCACUCCAGAGGGAGGGAGUUUCCAGUGCAUUUAGGUGGCUGUGGCUGGAGGCAGCAAAGCUACCCGGGCAGAUGGGACCGACAUCCAGGUGGAUACCUGGGACUUAUUUGGCUGAUUGAGGCUGUUUAUCAAGAAGUAACAGAGAGCUCUUGGAGAUGUAGAUCCUGUAGAAGGAGCUGGGUUGCAAACAGCUCCCUGGCACAUCAAAGCCUGCAGAGGUGCAUCCCACACCAUGGCCACUAACCCACCGCUGCCUGUCUGAGGCAGCACAGGAAAGUCAGCUCCAGAGGAUUUAUUUGGACCAUGGGGGACAACGGUUGGAUGUCAACACCAUAUAGAAACCGACCUACUACAGGCUGUGUUAUUUUCCUUAUUGCCUCCAGAGAACACACACCUUCUGAAGUUUCCUAACAUGUUGCCUCAUAAGGUGCUUUCACAACAUCCAUGCCGCGGAUACAUUAGCCAGCCUCAGCAGAGCAUAAUUCCGGUCUCAUAAAUCUUCCAGCAAUUACGAGGCCUCAUUCAACCUCCCCGUGAGAUAAAACAACUGCUGCAUCGUGGCGUCACAAUGGGAUUUUUCUUUUUUUUUUUUUAGCUUUUGCUUUCCAACAAAUCAACUCUGCAAAAUGACAAGUGCAGUGUGCUGCCUUCCACAUGGAGCCCUGGGAUACAAAACCAGCCCAUCCUUUCCUUAUUUUCUUGACAAAAACAUAGAAUCUUUAAGGCUGGAAAAGACCUCCAAGAUCAAUUCCAACUCCAACACACCCCCCAUACCCACUGCCCACGUCCCUCUGUGCCACAUCUCCGUGGUUCUGGAACACCUCCAGGGAUGGUGACCCCACCACACCUGGGCAGCUGUGCACUGCAGCACCACUCUGUCUUAGAAUAAAUUUUAGCUCAUAUCCAGCCUGAACCUCCAUCCUAGACGUCGUUGUUUGUCACCUACCGAGGAGAAGCAGGGAGUCCAUCUAGAACAGGAAGAAAUCCAGUAUUCUGAGUUACCAGCAUUGGGCAGUGGCAUCCAGGUAAGCGCAGCCAAAGGGCAGGACCUCUGUGAGCCAUCUGGC